rnacentral:tRNA from 1 species
GGGCCCGUGGCUUAGACUGGUCAUAGCACCGCUCUGAUAAGGCGGGGGUCGCCGGUUCAAAUCCGGCCGGGCCCACCA